rnacentral:sRNA from 1 species
CACCAACAUAGACAUCAGUGCCUUCGACUUCGUUGUAGU